rnacentral:rRNA from 1 species
ACUCCUGCGGGAGGCAGCAGUGGGGAAUUUUGGACAAUGGGCGAAAGCCUGAUCCAGCAAUGCCGCGUGUGUGAAGAAGGCCUUCGGGUUGUAAAGCACUUUUGUCCGGAAAGAAAUCCUUGGCUCUAAUACAGUCGGGGGAUGACGGUACCGGAAGAAUAAGCACCGGCUAACUACGUGCCAGCAGCCGCGGUAAUACGUAGGGUGCGAGCGUUAAUCGGAAUUACUGGGCGUAAAGCGUGCGCAGGCGGUUUGCUAAGACCGAUGUGAAAUCCCCGGGCUCAACCUGGGAACUGCAUUGGUGACUGGCAGGCUAGAGUAUGGCAGAGGGGGGUAGAAUUCCACGUGUAGCAGUGAAAUGCGUAGAGAUGUGGAGGAAUACCGAUGGCGAAGGCAGCCCCCUGGGCCAAUACUGACGCUCAUGCACGAAAGCGUGGGGAGCAAACAGGAUUAGAAACCCCAGUAGUCCCA